UGGAAACCAAGGCGGGAAACAGCUUUUACUGUUAACGGUGACAAAAGGUGGGCUUGAUGGCCCUUCAUAAUUUUUUUUGUUUUUCAAGCUGGCUGGAAAUAAUGUAUUUAUAGGUGGAAUAGUUAUAUUCCCUUCUAGUUCUUUGUAGUAUAGUCCCAUUCUUCACAAGGUGAAUGCAUACAUUUGUUUCAGUUAAAAUAGCAUCUGGGUGCCAUUACCUUGAUGCCUCUUUGGAAUGACUUUUUGCUAUGAUUGUAUACAAUAUCAAACCCAGAAACCGGCCUUGCGGUAACAAUUAUAUUAGAUUAAAGUAAAUACUUAUGCACUAGAAUUCUUUGACACUACCGUUAGUGCUUUACAACUGUUACAAGUUGAGAAGAAACAUUUAGACAACCUACGUGCAGAUGCCUGAAGCAACUACACAGGUUGUCUAAUGCAGGACGCUUUGUGGUGUAGAAAUAUAUCAAAAACAUAUAAACAUUAAUUGAAAGAACACAUAUCUACCACUGUAAUAUUUUAGAAGUGGAAAGCAGCAGCAUGGUAAAGCACACCUGGUUGCCCAGACUAAUGU
rnacentral:lncRNA from 1 species